UACGAAGGGGGCUAGCGUUGCUCGGAAUCACUGGGCGUAAAGCGCACGUAGGCGGAUUGUUAAGUCAGGGGUGAAAUCCUGGAGCUCAACUCCAGAACUGCCUUUGAUACUGAGGGUCUUGAGUUCGGGAGAGGUGAGUGGAACUGCGAGUGUAGAGGUGAAAUUCGUAGAUAUUCGCAAGAACACCAGUGGCGAAGGCGGCUCACUGGCCCGAUACUGACGCUGAGGUGCGAAAGCGUGGGGAGCAAACAGG
rnacentral:rRNA from 1 species